rnacentral:tRNA from 1 species
CAUUUUGCUCAACUGGUAGAGCAAUCGACUAAGGAUCGAUGCGUACAGGUUCAAGCCCUGUAAUGCCCA